rnacentral:pre_miRNA from 1 species
GCUCUGGGCAGGAUAUCAUCGUAUACUGUAAGUCGGCUAUGAGACACUACAGUAUAGAUGAUGUACUACCCCGGCCUU